AGUACCAAAUACGCAAGUGAGAACCUUGAGGACUGAAAGUGAAGAAGGGUUCCAUGUGAACAGCAGUUAAACAUGGGUCAGUCAGUCCUGCGUGACCAGAGAAAUCCGUUCCGAAUGGGGAUGUUAAGCUUUGCCUAAUAGAACUGUGUUUGUCCACCUGUCAACCAAAAGGGAAUGGGGGUUAAUAUCCCCCAACCUGGACACAGAGACGUGUAAGCUUCAGCUCCAAAUGCAAUAAUGCAAAUGAACUUGAAGACGUCGAUGGGUGACCCAGCGAAGAGUUAUCUUUUCUUUGUAAGAUCCCAUAUCCAUCGAAUCAGAUCAUCUGGAGAUAGGGAUGGUGAGCUUGUAAAAGCACCAUGGCUUGUAUGGUGUCCGGUAAGGUCUUGUUGAUGCUUACAAAUCCAAGGGAGAGAUUAUGACUUUGUGCCAGACCGUACCCAUAGGCAUGAAAAUGAAUGAAUUCACGAACUCUUGUUUUUGAUCAACUUUUAGGGAAAUUAGUCUUUAGGC
rnacentral:rRNA from 1 species